rfam:Callithrix jacchus chromosome 22, whole genome shotgun sequence
UCUCAGGCUGUGACCCUCUAGACGGGAGCACUUCCUUUGUCUGAAAGAAAUAGAAAGUGUACCCGUUUAGAGGAUUACGGUUUGAGA